ACACGGACCAGACUCCUACGGGAGGCAGCAGUGAGGAAUAUUGCACAAUGGAGGACACUCUGAUGCAGCAACGCCGCGUGGAGGAUGACGCAUUUCGGUGUGUAAACUCCUUUUAUCAGAGAAGAAGAUGACGGUCUCUGAUGAAUAAGCUCCGGCUAACUCCGUGCCAGCAGCCGCGGUAAUACGGAGGGAGCAAGCGUGAUUCGGAAUCACUGGGCGUAAAGGACGCGUAUGCGGGUUUUUCAGUCCGGUGUGAAAUCCUACAGCUCAACUGUAGAACUGCACUUGAAACUGGGAACCUAGAGUAUGGAAGGGGCAGGUGGAAUUAGUGGUGUAGGGGUAAAAUCCGUAGAUAUCACUAGGAAUACCGAAAGCGAAGGCGACCUGCUGGGACAUUACUGACGCUGAUGCGUGAAAGCGUGGGGAGCAAACAGGAUUAGAUACCCUGGUAGUCCACGCCCUAAACGAUGAAUGCUAGUCGUCGGAGAGCUCGUCUCUUCGGUGAUGCACUUAACAGAUUAAGCAUUCCGCCUGGGGAGUACGGUCGCAAGAUUAAAACUCAAAGGAAUAGACGGGGACCCGCACAAGUGGUGGAGCAUGUGGUUUAAUUCGAAGAUACGCGAAGAACCUUACCUAGCCUUGACAUUGAUAGAACGGACCAGAGAUGGACCGGUGCCUUUCGGGGAACUUGAAAACAGGUGCUGCACGGCUGUCGUCAGCUCGUGUCGUGAGAUGUUGGGUUAAGUCCCGCAACGAGCGCAACCCUCGUCGUUAGUUGCUAACAGUUCGGCUGAACAC
rnacentral:rRNA from 1 species